UUAUAAAAGGCUCCAUCUCCGCCUCGCUUUCUCCCCUACCCGAAAAUUGCUUCACGGCAACCCUCCUUUCCAUGGUGCAUCAGUGCCUUGUUGCUGUAUGAUUAAUUGGCUGUCGAUGUCGCGGUCGCUUUGAGAUGGAUGCUGCGCCGUGCUGGACGCCUGCGGGGGUGAGCCGCUGCCAGGCCGAAUGCCAUCGACGUCGUGCCGCUGGAGGGCAUCGUGGCUGCGCUCGCCUGCAGGGCCACAGGUAGCCAGGCCAGACGGCGCCGCUGUGUUGGUAUGCAGCAGCGGCACCGUGCUGUCUGCCUAGGUAUUCGUUCUCUUCCUCCAUCAUUUAUGCCUUGCUCUACUCUUAGGUAGGUCUGUAUUAGGCAGUGUUUCUUCUAUGAAGAACUGUGUACUGGUGAUAAUAGUGUGAGACUGUUAUUUACCCGUUACUUUUUUUGUGCGCUGGUUGGUGUGUGUGCGAUCUUAAGUGCAGAGCGUUUGUCAUUCACUGUAAAAAAAAUUGGGUGCAUUUAGAGUGUCUGAGUUUCUUUUAGGUUCUGCUCAUUUCUUUCCUAGAUAAUAAUGAUAACUAGAUGACUCUGCUACAUUCAUACUCGAUUUUCUGGCUAGGUGUUGUCUUCCUCGACUUCCGUCGCUCCGGGUCUGCAUCUAGCGCCGCGUUUUCGACCUCUCCGACUAAGCCACACGGUUGCCACCCACAUGCACCGCUCAGGCACUCCCAGUCCAGCCUCGGUGGUUAACCGGCUGCUCUGCGGUUCCCCCAUUGAGGGAGGGGGUUAACUUUGUUUGAUUCUAUUUUCUCUGGUUCACCCUCACGGCUGCGCUUCUUUCUCUGUCGCGGCAAGAGUCGCCGUUCAGGGACGUUACAUGGAUCUGGGUGCCAGAGCAGGUCGGGGCAUGGAGGCCUGUGAUCAAUAAUGCUAAACAUAGGAAGGUUUACAUGCUUUUACACGCUGACUAUGGUUUUUUUAAACAAACUAACCUCCUGAUUUUCAUGGGGUGGGGCCCCUUCUCCCGUUUAAUCUUCAAUCAAAACCCACCUUUAUGUAAAAACAUAUAGCCUUUCGUAUAUGUAGCAUUACCCGGCCUGUGAUGGACAUCGUGCAUGCAAAGGGCGGGCAGCAGCCAGUAGGUUAGCCCGCUUCGACGGCUGACAUCGACGAGGAGGCAGGGCUCCGAGGAGAUGUCCAACGUCAUUGACAGGUUCGGACGUGCCGACUAGAGCGUCGUCGAAGCCCGUACGUGCAAGCACGUGCGCACGAAAAUGCUGCUUCGGUCAGUAUUCUGGCCUUUGCUGCACUCACGCCUUGCCAUGGCAGUCCUUGACGGUGUGAAGAUUCUUGGUGCCAAAGGCUACUUCCUGGAUGAUGAACACGAUCGCAAAGAAGCCAGGCGGCCGGUGGAGGUUCGCAGGUGAUGGAUGCCGGCUGGUGCAUGCGUCCAGGACGUGGUCACCAGGUGGGCAUGCGGCUGCAGCAGUAUAGUUCACGACUGAGCCCUCCAAAUGAGCACGCGCUGGUGCUACGCGUCGUGAGCCUUCUCAACGGCCACGGCGUGAUCUUUUUUUUUUUUUUGAGGGGAAAGAUCGCCGCUUUAUUAACUAAGUGUAGCUCGGAAUGUCAUCCGAAAUUACAUCCAAGAUGCAGUCUGGGGGAACCCCCAACCAAACCUUACACAAUUCAUCCCCUACCCCUACUCUUGCUAAUUUAUGCGCGGCAACAUUACCCGUGCGUCUAACCCACGUCACUUUGUACUGAUCCUUCGUCUCCAGCAUGUGUUUGAUUUCCUGAAUCCAU
rnacentral:lncRNA from 1 species